CCUGCCCUAAGUUUCAAGUGUGGCUGAUAUAUCACAUGUGUGCCCGUAGGAGGCAGAAAGGAGAGAGUCUAUGUCUAUUCUCAGUGUUCUGACCUAUGAACAUCUGAGUGAUAAAUAGUCUAAUACU